UACGGAGGGAGCAAGCGUUACUCGGAAUUACUGGGCGUAAAGGGCGCGUAGGCGAUUUUGUAAGUCUUGUGUGAAAGCCCAAAGCCUAACUUUGGAAGUGCACAAGAUACUGCGAGAAUUGAGUUCCGGAGAGGAAGAUGGAAUUCCCGGUGUAGCGGUGAAAUGCGUAGAUAUCGAGAGGAACACCUGCGGCGAAGGCGGGUUGCUGGGCCGACACUGACGCUGAUGCGCGAAAGCCAGGGGAGCGAACGGG
rnacentral:rRNA from 1 species